UACGAGAGCCUCAAGCGUUAUCCGGAAUUAUUGGGCGUAAAGGGUGUGUAGGUGGACGUGUUAGUCCUGUGUGAAAGCCUGUCGCUUAACGACAGAUCUGCAUGGGAAACGGCACGACUGCGAGGGUGCGAGGGGUGAACGGAACUCAUGGUGUAGGGGUGAAAUCCGUUGAUAUCAUGGGGAACGCCAAAAGCGAAGGCAGUUCACUGGCGCAUACCUGACACUGAGACACGAAAGCCAGGGCAGCGAAUGGG
rnacentral:rRNA from 1 species